GACGUGACGUCAAGCACAGGGUAUAGAAAGCCCCCCUAUCACAUACAGAGAAGCAGCUUGAGCUCAGGUUUCUAGUAUAAAUAUUACCUCAGUGAAUAGAUUCUUUCUUAGGGCCGUAAUUGGCACAUAGCUUUAGGAACAUUGCAUCGUGAAGACGUGGAAACGAGAGGCUCUAUAUUGUCUCGGCGUAAGAUUACCUUUGUUGAGGACGCACCACUGCGAGUUCUUAGUAUCCUUGCGCGGCUAAAGCAAGGGAGGAAGUAACUCCGCCAUCUUGUCCAAGCUCUGAAGCGCGCAUCGAAGGUCUGUUUGGCUUCCAACUCCAUUUCUUUUUCUUCUCAAUCCGUCUCCCUUUAAAUCCAUCAAGCUGGAUAUGUCAGGGGGCGGCGUGAUUAGGGGGCCGGCGGGUAACAACGAUUGCCGUAUCUAUGUUGGCAAUCUGCCGCCAGACAUCCGCACCAAGGACAUUGAGGACGUUUUCUACAAGUAUGGGGCCAUUCGGGACAUAGACCUAAAGAACCGCAGAGGGGGCCCGCCAUUCGCCUUUGUGGAAUUCGAAGAUCCAAGGGAUGCAGAAGAUGCUGUCUAUGGUAGAGAUGGCUAUGAUUAUGAUGGCUAUCGCUUGCGUGUUGAGUUUCCAAGAAGUGGGCGAGGAGCUGGAGGCAGAGGUGGUGGUGGUGGUGGCGGCGGCGGAGGAGGAGGUGGUGGAGGCGGCGGCGGCGGUGGUGGUGGUGGCGGCGGAGGAGGAGCUCCCCGAGGGAGAUAUGGACCUCCAUCAAGACGUUCAGAAUACAGAGUGGUUGUGUCAGGGUUGCCUCCAAGUGGCAGCUGGCAGGAUUUAAAGGAUCACAUGCGUGAAGCAGGUGAUGUAUGUUAUGCCGAUGUGUUCCGAGAUGGUACUGGAGUUGUGGAGUUUGUGAGGAAAGAAGAUAUGACAUAUGCAGUACGGAAGCUGGAUAACACUAAAUUUAGGUCUCAUGAGGGAGAGACUGCCUACAUUCGUGUUAAGGUAGAUGGUCCAAGAAGUCCCAGCUAUGGAAGAUCGCGGUCACGCAGCCGCAGUCGUAGCAGGAGCCGUAGUAGAAGCAACAGUCGCAGCCGAAGUUACUCUCCAAGAAGAAGCCGUGGUUCUCCACGCUACUCUCCUCGCCACAGCAGAUCUCGCUCUCGUACAUAAAUGAAAAACACGUGAUGCUUUUUGUAGACCCUCAUGUUGUAUACAGUUUUCUUUACUUUCAUUUUUUUAAGUCACUGUUUUAUUCAAUUUUGCCGAAGUGUUGAAUCCUUUGUGUAGUAUUGCCAUCAGACUGGCUCCUUAAUGCCCUCAUUUCCCUCAUGCCUAAAACUGUAUUUUAACUGCUAGAUUCUUCCAGUUUAGCUAGCCACUCUUCAGAGGCACCAGCUGGUGUUUACUAUGGUUAUGGCACUGUGGGUUUUGGUGGUUGAUUACCAUACAUUCUAACUUUUUUUUCCUGGGGGAAUUCUUGUUUUACCUUGCCUUUUCAUGUGUCUUUCUGUAGACAUAUCUGAAGAGAUGGAUUAAAGGAUUGUGGAGGACAUUUCAAUCAUUUUAGGAUUAUCAAAUGGAGGCUUGAGGAGGAUCAGAUCAAAUAUGGAGGCCAUGGUUUGGAUUGGAGAGGGCUCACUGGAUCCCAAUCCUGGAGCUGGAUCAUUGGAUUCAAAUCAUAGGAAUGAAUAGGAUAGGGAGGAUGAAUAACCAGGAUUCAUGGAGCGGGAUCAGAUAACAAGGAACAUAGGAGUGGAUUCCUGCCCCAUCUAAACCGCAUUCAUGUGGAAUUUUUAUUUUUUCACAUCAAUUGGCUAUUCCAUAGAAUUUUUUUUUUUUUUUCCUACGAGUGAAGCCCUUAGGAUGCAAGAAGGAGCUUGCUUUUUUUUUUUUUUUCCUUUGUGUGUUAAGAGCAAAGAGGAGACCUGAGGCACGCUGGAGCCAUCUCCUGGGAAGGAUACCACACGAAUAGAUGGUAAACUUAAAGGGCUAAUGGGUGGGAAUAUAAAUUAAUCCAUUCUUAAAAUCUAAAUUUGAACAAAUGGGAGUAAAAAAAAUAGUUGACACCCCCCCCCUCCCCUUCCUGGCUGCAUUUUUUAAUUUGCUUUUUGAAACAAAAAUAAAUGGAUAAGUAAUA